ACAUUGGUGGUUAAGUGGUAGAAUUCUUGCCUUCUAUGCUGGAGAUCUGAGUUCAAUACCUGGCCGAUGUA
rnacentral:tRNA from 1 species